rnacentral:rRNA from 1 species
AUGAACGCUAGCUACAGGCUUAACACAUGCAAGUCGAGGGGCAGCAUGGUCUUAGCUUGCUAAGGCCGAUGGCGACCGGCGCACGGGUGAGUAACACGUAUCCAACCUGCCGUCUACUCUUGGACAGCCUUCUGAAAGGAAGAUUAAUACAAGAUGGCAUCAUGAGUCCGCAUGUUCACAUGAUUAAAGGUAUUCCGGUAGACGAUGGGGAUGCGUUCCAUUAGAUAGUAGGCGGGGUAAUGGCCCACCUAGUCUUCGAUGGAUAGGGGUUCUGAGAGGAAGGUCCCCCACAUUGGAACUGAGACACGGUCCAAACUCCUACGGGAGGCAGCAGUGAGGAAUAUUGGUCAAUGGGCGAGAGCCUGAACCAGCCAAGUAGCGUGAAGGAUGACUGCCCUAUGGGUUGUAAACUUCUUUUAUAAAGGAAUAAAGUCGGGUAUGCAUACCCGUUUGCAUGUACUUUAUGAAUAAGGAUCGGCUAACUCCGUGCCAGCAGCCGCGGUAAUACGGAGGAUCCGAGCGUUAUCCGGAUUUAUUGGGUUUAAAGGGAGCGUAGAUGGAUGUUUAAGUCAGUUGUGAAAGUUUGCGGCUCAACCGUAAAAUUGCAGUUGAUACUGGAUAUCUUGAGUGCAGUUGAGGCAGGCGGAAUUCGUGGUGUAGCGGUGAAAUGCUUAGAUAUCACGAAGAACUCCGAUUGCGAAGGCAGCCUGCUAAGCUGCAACUGACAUUGAGGCUCGAAAGUGUGGGUAUCAAACAGGAUUAGAUACCCUGGUAGUCCACACGGUAAACGAUGAAUACUCGCUGUUUGCGAUAUACUGCAAGCGGCCAAGCGAAAGCGUUAAGUAUUCCACCUGGGGAGUACGCCGGCAACGGUGAAACUCAAAGGAAUUGACGGGGGCCCGCACAAGCAGUGGAGUAUGUGGUUUAAUUCGACGCAACGCGAAGAACCUUACCAAGUCUUGACAUCCCUUGACGAUGCUGGAAACAGUAUUUCUCUUCGGAGCAAGGAGACAGGUGGUGCAUGGUUGUCGUCAGCUCGUGUCGUGAGAUGUUGGGUUAAGUCCCGCAACGAGCGCAACCCUUAUUGCCAGUUACUACGCAAGAGGACUCUGGCGAGACUGCCGUUGACAAAACGGAGGAAGGUGGGGAUGACGUCAAAUCAGCACGGCCCUUACGUCCGGGGCUACACACGUGUUACAAUGGGGGGUACAGAGGGCCGCUACCACGCGAGUGGAUGCCAAUCCCAAAAACCUCUCUCAGUUCGGACUGGAGUCUGCAACCCGACUCCACGAAGCUGGAUUCGCUAGUAAUCGCGCAUCAGCCACGGCGCGGUGAAUACGUUCCCGGGCCUUGUACACACCGCCCGUCACACCAUGAGAGUCGGGAAUACCCGAAGCCUGUGAGCCAACAUAUUUAUAUGAGGCAGCAGUCGAAGGUAGAAUCGAUGAUUGGGGUG